UACGGGGGGGGGCAAGCGUUGUUCGGAAUUACUGGGCGUAAAGGGCUCGUAGGCGGCCAACUAAGUCGGAUGUGAAAUCCCCAGGCUUAACCUGGGAACUGCAUCCGAUACUGGAUGGCUUGAAUCCGGGAGAGGGAUGCGGAAUUCCAGGUGUAGCGGUGAAAUGCGUAGAUAUCGGGAGGAACACCGGUGGCGAAGGCGGCGACCUGGGUAGAUACUGACGCUGAGGUGCGAAAGCGUGGGGAGCAGACAGG
rnacentral:rRNA from 1 species